UUUCUUAAUGAAUCCUGUGUUUCUUCCGUUGCUUUAUUUAUAUUAAUGUCUUCUAGUUGUUACAUUUUUUUGUUCCAAUUCUACUUGUAGAUCCUUUUCUUUACUUUUUUUGUAAACAGAGAAUGAUAUUAUUUUUCCUGUUUCCCCCAGAAGAGAUGGAGAUGUUUCUGGGGAGUCAUUCAUCUCUAGAAAGCUUGCCAACUCUUUUUUAAAAUAACUGACAAAAUCAUGAGUUUUCAGAAGAGAUAUGUUAGAUCACCAUCUGGUAGUGGGUUUAUGUUGACUAGUUGUGUUCCAUUUUAAUGUUAAAAUUGUUAAUGUUUGAUGUUUCUUACUGCAUUAAUACUGAAAGAUCCUGAAGAGCAGAAAGAGAAGAGAAACAAUACAGUACAGGAUCAAAACAGACUUUUUAGGAAUGUUUACAGCUAAUACUACAGGAUAAAAUACAGAAAUACUGAACAUUACAAUGCAUUUUUAAUAAUCUCAACAAACUUAUUGUGCUUUUUUCCCCACAUCCUCCUGUAGAUAAAGACGUCUGUGUUUAUCAGAGAGACAGAAAAUGCACAAUGGUGAUGUCUGUUCUACUGAAUGUUCAACAAUAGUCCACAUAAUCCAGCACCAGUUCCUGCCGCAAACUAACACUGGUGCUGCAUAGGUGGAUGAAGUCUGGGAAGAAUACAACAGGAAGCACCAUCCUGGGCAGAGAGGACAGAACUAGUCAAAUGCAGAUGCACUGCACCAUCUAAAACUUAUCCAAAAAGAUUAAUGGCUAUAAUUGAAACAAAAUGUGGCUUGACGAAGGACUUAAUAAGUUUUUCUAAACUUUUGCCUUGUGCUUUCAUUAGUUUUUUAGAUUUUUUCAUUAAAGGCUGUACAAUAACUAAACUAACUAUACAAUGAUUUAUAUUUAGAAUCUUGUUUAAACCUGUUUAUAUACCACAAGUUAAACAAAAAGAAAACAAUUACUAAUAUUUGAUGUUAAUUUUUUUAAAUCUUAUUUCACUGAUUAGGUUUUCUAUGCUACUACUCAUAGUCAUCAUGUACUUUCUCUCAAAUUUCAACUUAAAAUGUCUUAAUGAUUUUAUUUGUAAUAAAUAAUUUUUCAGUUGCUCUUUUUAUCUUAGUAUUAAGCAUAGUGGGUUUUUUACUGUCUAUAUAAUGCAGUUAUACAUGUGCAUCUCAAUAAAAUAGAACGUCAUGGAAAAGUUCAUUUAGUUCAGUAAAUCAACUCAAAUAGAGAAACUCAUGUAUUAUAUAAAUUCAGUAAGCCACAAACAUUCCCAUUGACAAAGAAGCUGUUCACAGAGUGCUGUAUCCAAGUAUGUUAAGAGAAAGUUGAUUGGAAGGAAAAAGUGUGGAAGAAAAAGAUGCACAACCAACUGUGAGAACUGCAGCCUUGAGAGGCUUGUCAAGCAAAAUCCAUUCAAGAAUUUGAAUGAACUUCACAAGGAAUGGACUGAGGCUAUUGUAGAGGCAUCAAGAGCUACCACACACAGACAUGUCAAGGAAUUUGGCUACAGUUGUUGUAUUCCUCUUGUUAAGCCACUCCUGAACCACAGUCAACGUCAGAGGUGUCUUAGCUGGGCUAAGGAGAAGAAGAACUGGACUGUUGCCCAGUGGUCCAAAGUCCUCUGUACAGAUGAGAGCAAGUUUUGUAUUUCAUUUGGAAUCCAAGGUCCUAGAGUCUGGAGGAAGGGUGGAUAAGCUCAUAGCUCAAGUUGCUUGAAUUCCAGUGUUAAGUUUCCACAGUCUGUGAUGAUUUGGUGCAAUGUCAUCUGCUGGUGUUGGUCCACUGUAUUUUUUUGAAAACCAAAGUCACUGCACCAAGAAAUUUACCAAGAAAUUUUAGAGCACUUAAUGCUUCCUUCUGCUGACCAGCUUUUUAAAAAUGCUGAUUUCAUUUUCCAGCAGGAUUUAGCACCUGCCCACACUGCCAAAAGCACCAAAAGUCGGUUAAAUGACCAUUUUGUCGGUGUGCUUGAAUGGCCAGAAAACAAAUUAGACCUGAAACCCAUAGAGAAUCUAUGAGCUAUUGUCAAGAGGAAAAUUAGAAACAAGAGACCAAAAAAUGCAGAUGAGCUAAAGGCCACUGACAAAGAAUCCUGGGCUUCCAUACCACCUGAGCAGUGCCACAGACUGAUCACCACCGUGCCACACCGAAUUGAGGCAUUAAUUAAAGCAAAAGCCCCUACCAAGUGUUGAUUACAUGUACAGUAAAUGAAUAUACUUUCCGGAUGUCCAACAAUUCACUAGAAAUGUUUUUUAUUAGUCUUAUGAAGUAUUCUAAUUUUUGGAGAAUUGGUGGGUUUUUGUUAAAUGUGCUCCAAAAUCAUCACAAUUAAAAGAACCAAAGGCUUCAGUCUGUGUGUACUGAAUUUACAUAAUACACGAGUUCCACUUUUUGAGUUGAAUUUCUGGAAUAAACAAACUUUUCCAUGACAUUCUAAUUUAUUAAGAUGUACCUGUAUGUUAAAUGGCUUCUGUUCUCAUAGGCUGCCCUGUAUCGCACUGUAUCGUGCACACAUCUCCCACUACUAGACUAAGAAAAGUCUAACUCAAGUUUGCAAAACCUGGACUAAUUAUUUGGGGUUAAUGAAACUUUGUCUAUGAUAACGUGGUUCAUCAUCAUUUUAUGAAUAAAAAACUGUACUUUCUUUUCUCGUCUAUCAUAAAUAAUAAAAAAAAUUAUGUUCAGA